rnacentral:lncRNA from 1 species
UUGAGAUAACUGGGAAAAAAUGGUCCAGUAAUCUUGAAUUAACCCUACAUCAGGGGUUAUCAACUCUAACUAAUCCUCGAGGUCGACUUUCCAGCAUAGUUUAGCUCCAUAUUUGAUCAAAUUCACCUGCUUGUGACUUUCUAGUAAUCCUGAAGGCCUUGAUUAGCUUGUUCAGGUGUGUUUGAUUAGGGUUAGAGCUAAACUCUGCUCAGCCCUGUUCCUGGGGACCCACUGUCCUGCAGACUUCAGCUCCAACCCUAAUCAAACACAUUAGAACCAGCCAAUCAAGGUCUUCAGGGUCUUUUGAAAAGUCACAGACCAGGUGUGCUGAAGAAGGUUGGAAAAAAACUUUGCAAGACAGUGGGUCCUGAGGAGCAGGGUUGAAGAGAGUUGACCUCUUGGGUUAAUUCAGGAUGGCUGGACCUGCAGGAAAAGCCAGAAAUGAGAAACCCUGCCCUACAAAGUGCAUAGUAAGGAUGAUGCUCUUGUUGUAUUUUCAUCUUUGUCAUAUCAGGCCUGUGCCAGGUAUUUGUUGAAAUUCCACACACCCCGCAGGGAGAGGUAUGUUGCCCUUCUUCUAGUCUUGGCCCUGGUGCCUGUCUCUGUCCAUCUUGUGUUCUCAAAUAUACAGCACAUGCCUGGGACACGCUAAGCCCAGAUCACCUCUCUAAAUCCUGCAGACUUCACACAAGAGUUAUAACCCAUUUUAGACCAACACAGCCGUGGCCUGAGAAAGGAUUAUCAGUCUAAUGCCUCAACAGGCAUAAUAUGAACAUGAAAUGAAAAUCCUGUAAUUAUUUACUCCCCCUCACUUUGUUCCAAACCUGUGUGCUGUUAUUUACAACAAUUUAAGGCAACAUAAAGUUCUUUUCAAGAAGAAGUUCAUAGUGACCUUGGCUGCUACAAAAGAUAUUUAGAAAAAUAUUUCAGCAGUGUUUGUCCAUGAAAAUGAAAGUCACUGGGGUCCAAAACAACACUGGGUCUCAAUGAUUUUCAUUGUUUCAUUGUUUUGUUUUCCAAAAGUAAUACAAAUUUGGAAUAGCAUGAGACUGACUAAAUGAUUACAGGAUAUUAAUUUUGUUGAAUGUACUACCCAUUUAAACCAAACAAAGAAAUCUUGAAAAUGCCAUAAACUUAAAUCAUAUUCACGGUUUUCUGAAGCCGUACGAUAGCUUGUGAGAGUAACAGACUGAAAUAAAAAUUAUUCACUGGUUAUCUUAUCUCCCACUUGCAGUUUAGAAGAAUUGGAAUAUAGCACAAAAGCCAUAUUUUAUGGAGCUUACAUGUUAAAUGAAAAAGAUCUGUGUAAAAUAUUUAAAAAAUAAAUUAAAUAAAUCCA